rnacentral:rRNA from 1 species
GAUGAACGCUGGCGGCGUGCUUAACACAUGCAAGUCGAACGAGAAAUGUAGACGGAAACCUUCGGGCGGAAGCCUUCAUUUCGAGUGGCGGACGGGUGAGUAACGCGUGGGUAACCUGCCUCAUACAGGGGGAUAACAGUUGGAAACGACUGUUAAUACCGCAUAAGACCACAGCAUCGCAUGAUGCGGGGGUAAAAACUCCGGUGGUAUGAGGUGGACCCGCGUUCGAUUAGCCAGUUGGCGGGGUAACGGCCCACCAAAGCGACGAUCGAUAGCCGAUCUGAGAGGAUGACCGGCCACAUUGGGACUGAGACACGGCCCAAACUCCUACGGGAGGCAGCAGUGGGGAAUAUUGCACAAUGGGGGAAACCCUGAUGCAGCGACGCCGCGUGAGUGAAGAAGUACUUCGGUAUGUAAAGCUCUAUCAGCAGGGAAGAAAAUGACGGUACCUGAGUAAGAAGCCCCGGCUAACUACGUG